GAGUCCCCCCCUCCUCAACACCCAGCCUCACCCGCUCUCCCCGACUCUGCCUCCACCCACCACACUGCCCCCGGUUAGCCUCCCCCAGACCACAACGUGCAUUUAGAGCGAAUCUGACAUCCGCCAUGUUCAGUUUCCAGUCUGCAUUUGACAUUUUAUGAACUUUGCAUACAUCUUUCAUCCAAAUCCUACCAUAGCAACACAUGCUAACGAGUGUUCCCUUAUUUGUCAGAAAGAAAUAAAAGUAACAAGUCCUGAUAAUCAAACAAGAAUGACCAAUUAUCCCCAAUUUUUUUCAUUCAUUCAUUCAUUCAUUCAGUCAGUCAUUCAUUCAGCCUUCAUUUAAACUGGGAAUAUACUAAGUUAUGGGUGUCUUAUUUACUAGUAAGACAAUAAAAAAACAAUAUUUAUUAGUUAAUAAAGUAGUAGCUAAUAAUUGAGUAUUUAAAUUUUAAAAACAAAUACAUUGACUUACACAAGAACAGAUUUAAGUAAAACAAAUUAGGAAAUUCAAACCUAAAGAGGUAAAAAUAAAUCCAGCUUUGGAUUGUUCUGCAGGUCGUUCCAAGUAGCAGGUACACAGCGAGUCAAACUGAGUAAAAUCAGCUGACACCUGCUAUGUAAUCCAUUGAAUUAGGGCCCUGAUGUAAGGGAGUAAGCAAACAAUAGAGGCCUUUUAUGUAAAUAAAACCCAGUGGCUGUGAUACUUGACUGAGAAAGGGGGUGCACCCAACUUUACACACAUACAUGUCAUUAUCACCUGUAUUAAAUCUUAAUGCAGAGAGACAGAAUGCCUAAAGGCUUAUGAGUUACACUUUAGACAUGUAUGUAGAAAAUGCUGCAAAAAAAUACUCUUUUGUCUCAAUUUAAUCAUUUUAUUAGUCCCAUUGUAUUUAUAUAUCAACUUCUCUUUUAUCCACAUAUUUAUAUUCUAAAUAUUUGUGCAAUGUAUAGUAGAGAUGACAAGAUUAUCAUAAUUAAUAUUUUAUCUCCUAUAAGAAUUAAUUUAGGGAUAUUGAGUGCAACUUAGUGAUUUAACAGCAGAAUGUGUCGUAUCUGCACUACAGUACAAAAUUAUAUCAUGGGCAUGAAAAUGUAUGUUACCCCCAGAUACAUAGGUAGCAAUAGCACAUCCACUAUGUAAAAAGACUGAACAGCACAAGCCCUAAGAUGAAGAGCCUUGUGGCAAUAGCAAUUUUCCAGCAAUUUUUGCAAAAAACAUUUGAUCUAACAUUUUAAACAGCUACACUCUGAUGUCUAUUCAUGAGGUAACUGAAAUCAUUUGAAAGCACUACUGUGUAGCUUUUACAAGUACAACUGUAUCUAAUGCCUUUAAAAGAGAAAUAAAAAGAGCUGCCAAAUUUUUCUCAGAUAUGUGAUUUCAUCCUUAAAUGUUUACAGUUGUGCAUGUUUGACAUGUUGGUCAUAUCAGACAAAUAGUGUGUUAAUUGAGUGAAUGAGUGAUUAAUUGGGAUCAUGUUUCUAUUUAUCUGAUGGACAUAAGUCCAACAUUUAUUCUCUUUGAGCUCUGAUUUUGGUCUCCACCACCUCAACUGUGAUUAACGUAAACAUGUUAACUUCUAAAUGAUCCCUUGUGUUCUUCAGCCAGUCUCUUUCACUGUAAGACUGUUUGGUGUUCGGUGUUAGGUAGUGCACAGUGGCUUCUUAGAGCCUUUUCUCUUCUCCAUAAGCAAUGGCUCCAAAUGUCUCUUUUCCAAUUUAACAGCCCUGAACCAAAAUAUAUUUAAACCGACACAUAUACAGAGGCACAUUGUACUGAUGAAAACAUAAACAAGUGUUCAUGGAGCAGCUCUAUUAGCUUUAUUUAGGGGAGAAGAAUACAAGAUAGCAUGCAAAGCUCACAUAUUUGCUUGUAUACAUGAAAUGCUGAAUGGAUUUGUUAUAGUAAAUGUUGUUGUAUGGUUGGGAUGUAAAUUAUAGCUCCUGAAUCCAAGCUAAUCAAAGUUUAUCUUGUAAAUCUUAGUAUUUAAUUUAUUCUACAUUCUGAAAUGGAAGAAAUUUAAAAUGUCAAGUCUAAAUAGAGCACAAAAUAUCACUCACUGAUAAGUCAAACUCAAGGUCCACUUACUUAUCCAUGUGAUAAAGUCAAAAGCUCCAGAACAAGUGGAGUAGCUUGAGUUGCAAAAUUAAGUCUUCAUGUUGUGGUCAAAUUCGCUCUAAAUGCAUUUUCAGCCUCACCCCAGCUCCCUCCCCCACCUCGCCUCCCCCCAUAGUGCUAUAAUAACUUGUAAUAAUUUACAACACCCUCAACUCACACACAGCACUGAAGGUGAAGCAGCCUCCCCGGCCCUGUCGCUCCGUCCUUCUCAUCCGCCUCCUCUUCUUCUCUUUCUCCUCAUCAUCACCCCUCUACUCCCCUCCUCCACGUCCUGCUCUGAAACAACCCCAUCUGGAAGCCAAGCACCACUAGCAGGCUGGUUUAAGAGCUAGCAGCACCACAGGAAAGGGUCAUAUAUGAAUUGUUUCAAUAAUUCUUCCAACAGUUGCUGUCUUAUUUUUCAGUGUGCUUGUGUUUUUGCUGCAGGUUGUAAUUGCUAAAGGUAUCAUUAGCAAAAAGAAGGGGAAAAAAGCAUUGAACUUCAAUGUUGUUUACACAGAGAAAUAGAUAAAAAUCCCAACAAUGGAAGACUAAGAUGCAAGACGUGUAUUAAAGAAGAAUUAAAUUUCAAAGUAAAGUACAAAAUAAAGUCAAAAAAUAAGCAAAAUUCUAGAAAUGCUAUCAAACACUUUUUUUUGCAACGGUUGAUUUUACAUUCCUCCAUUAUAUAAAGGAGUGCAAACAUCCUAGAGUCGACACAAUAUAGCAUUAAAUGUAUAAGAAUAAAUGAUUCAUCUACAUGAAAAUACAAGACAUUAAAAAAGACAAUUUUACAAAAAAACAUGAAUCUAAUGAUCCUAUUUAUUUAUUGACCCUACAUUUUGCUGGUUAAUAUUCAGGGUUGAAACAGUUUUGAAUAAUUUUGAAUGGUCUGUCUAGAUGUAAUAAUAAUGGAAACGGGAUCUUGUGAAGUGACAUGAGCACUUCUGUGCAUAUAACAUUGUUCUAUUUUUAGCUUACAAGUCCCUAAAAAUUCUGCAAUCUACAUUAAUAUGAAAUAGACUUUGAAUGUUGGUUAAUUAGAAACUUGUUUUACGCGGAAACAAACUGUGGGUGUUCACACAGCAGGGGGCGCUGCAGGAAGAUGUUCACAGGGGUUUCAUAUAACAUCAACAUGUUUUCCAAAAUGAAAGUUCAAUUUUCUGUCUCACAAAGUCCCAGAAGCAGACUCAAAUGAGCAAUGAAUGUAACUAAUAAGUGUUUUGUCUGUUUCAAAGUCGGAAAAUAUCUAAUGUAAGGCUGCAUUAGAAGAUUAAAUGUGUCAUAGCCAUAGACUGUGCAGUACAACAGAAGCGAGUACACCCUUGCACAAUAUCUCUUAAAUGUCAGAUGGUUCUAAAUUGUAUCAACUCUUAAUAAUAUUGUUAUUCCUAAGUUGAACAGUAGAAUAUUUACUGUUAUGAACUAUCAAUAAUAUUUGCCUAUAUUGAAAAUACAAGCAGAAACUAAAUGCAACAAACAUGAAUACAGCUGUAACAACUGACACACAAGUUAUAAAAAACAUAAUCAUUGAAACAAAAGUGAAUACGGCUGUGAUUAUUGACACACGUUAGAAAACUGACUGAAGCAAAACUGAGUAGAGCUGUGGUUUCCAAUUAGCUUAAUUAUAUUAACAUGGUUCUAAAAUGGCCUGCGAACACCAGAACAGUUUUGUUUUUGACCUAUUGGCUGCGUCUGUCUGUGUCUCCAUCAUGGCUCCACAUGGAAAACGAUUCCUCGAGGAAUAAGAUGCAACCACAGACAGUUCAGUCCUUUCACAAUCUAUCUCUGCUGGAUCCUGACCAGGAGACACCAAAGUGAAUGCAUUGUCCUAUCAGUGAAGCAUUGAAGUGGUGUGAUGGAAUGGGUGAAAAAUGUGUUGCGGGAGAUGACAUUAAUAGAUGGCACCAUGAAGGCUUGUGGAUAUACCAAAAUACAAUCUGACAAGAUAGCUACCAGUCUGCAGAAGCUUGGCAGAAGAGGAAUAUUUCAGCAUAAGGUUCAAAUCUCACUGCCAAAUUACAAGAGUUUCUAAAAAAGAAAAAAGUGUAAACAAUGACCUGUGACUAGAAUCCAGUAGGAAGUGUAGUUUAGUUUUACAAUGAUGCAAAUACCCUCCUGUUGAAUUUACAAGUAAUGUAGUUAUUGAAAAACAAUACAAAUGUUGAAGCAUAUGACAUUUUGGUGACGUUGCUCUCACUUCUGUUGUAUCUGUAUAUAAAAAUGAUGGACGAACCAAUCAUGCUGUCAACGACAGUGCCUGACUCCUCCUUUAAAAAAAUGCGUGAAUGGACAACCACUGUUCAGUCAAAGCAGCCACAAAAUAAUUAUGCAUAACCCUUAACCCUCUUUGUCAUGUAUCUUAAAAUUAGCUGCAGAGACCAAUACAUGGCUCUAAGCAGGUUUAUUUCUCCUGUAAACUAUAGAAGAAGAUUGACUUGCUUCUGGAGCCAGCCUCAGGUGGCCAUUCAAGGAGCUGCAGUUUUUGGCGCUUCCACAUUUUCUUCAUUUUUUAGCCCCAGAGGCUGCCGCUUGGCCACGGUGGCUUUCUUGUUUUGAAGGCUCCUUUAAAUUAAACCUGUGUUUUCUUUUGCUGGUUUACUCAAAAUGUUAUUCCCAUCCGAGCUCCAUUUAAAUGAAUAUCCUAGCCGCAAUGACACAUUUUAAAGUCGCAAAUUAAGGAUGCAGAGUGAGCGUGUGAAGGGCAGAAGAUGUGUGUGUGUGAGGGCUAUGAGAGGAUGCGUCAUCAGCAGAGGAGGGAGAUUUUCAGGGGCUGUUAUGGAUAGAUAGAUACACACACACACAGAGAGCAGUGGGAUUCACCAGAUGACUAACAAGCUGCUAUGACAGGGUGAGCUAAUGUGACCUCGUUCAGCUUAGAUUCUCCUGUUGUCUGCAGCAGCUUCACUUUAAACUGAAUACAGACACAGCGGCAGCAUUUUACCAUUCAGUGAAAUCCUCUUUAACACAGAAUGUUCUCUCAAGGUGUAACAAGACAUACAUUAUGCAUAAGCUGAGUUCUGCCAGAGUGUUAUUAAAAGCAUAAUGAUAAAGCCACUGAAACUCAUGUACGGUAUCACGUUGAUGUAUCGUUUAAAGGAUAAUUCCAUUAUUUUUAAACCUGGGCCCUAUUUUCCAAUGCUUUUGGAUCUAAUUGAUGAACCCUAUGAACCCCAAAACCUGUAGGCCAAUUUGAACUGAAUGUUUUCUUUUAAAAAAAUAAAUAAAUGACAGCAUUUUUCCAAGCCAGAGACAUAAUUGUCAUAUUUUCAUAGUCCAAUAUCCUUGAAUUAACCACGUGUGACUUCUGGUUCUGUCAGUAAAUCCCUCACCAAAUCUCAGCUGAAGAUCGUGAUAUUUCAUCAGACUCACUUUAUUUUUCAUUGUCAUUUUUAAAAAUUGCUGAAAUAGCACUUUACACUAACAAGAUUUUGCAAAAAAACAAAACAAAAAAAUUGCACUCUUUGCCGCAACCAAGAAGCCAUUAGAUUUUUUUUUUGACUGAACUGGGCUGAACUGCAGGUUGUGUUUACACAGCAUACAGGAGAAAAAUAUGAAAAUGAACUACAAAUGCAAAUAGUAAAAUAUAAAUAGUAUGAAAUAUAUAUAAUGUCUAGAGUUACUAUUUUUUCAGUAUUGGUAACACCUGUGGUCACUUUUUAAUUUUUUUGUAAAAUAAAUAAUCAAGUAAAUUCAGCUCUUUAAACUGUUUAUAGUAUUAUAGCUGUGUCAUACUGCACAAAACACAUUUUUGAGGUACUUUACACUUUUAGCCAUGGUUGUGUUGUUUUUACAGAGGUCCAGAACUUUAUUUUGCAAUGAAAACUAAGCUGUCAGCCAUAAUGAAACAAGAGCAUAAAGUAGCCACAAUCUGCUUAGAGUUCAGGUGGUUUAUAGGGAUGAAAAUGUUUGGAAUUGGUCCAAUACUGACAAUGACAUUUUAACCGUUAACUGUGAAAUGGCUGCUGUAAUCUCACAGGUCAUUUGUCUGUGUCAAACUAAAGUUCUUUUUACCACUGACAGUCUCAGAUUGUUAAUAUAAAGUUAUGGAUUUGAUUCUUACAGAGACAGACAUGUGUAACAUAUAAGAAGUGUCACAGAAACGGGAGAUGUGUUGGGUUUUUUGCAUUAGGAGAUGGGGCGUCUCGUUUCCUGCUCUUGAAAAACUUCUAAAAUAACUGUUGUCAUGAAUACACUAAGAGGAAGCAUUCAUAUGGACUCCUCUAAUUAACAUGGUACAUGUGACCCUACUUGAAGCUACCAAGAGAUGGAGUACAGAAAUUGUAGGUUGCUGCUGUCUAAAGGAUUAACAAAAUGAUUUUUUGUUUGUUUUGUUUUUCCAAAUUGUUGCAAAAAAUGGAACACCACACUUUGUAAUGCUUUUACGUAGGACCUUUGAGGGACAGAAACAUGCUCAACUUGAGGCUAGUUGCGCCAGAAAUGAACAAAAACGAUCCUGUCUGUUCACUGCAUCGUUCAGGUCAUCAUGUCUGCAGUGAAUGUUUUGACCAAGAUGACCGCUGCCAGUCAAGUCGGAAAAGAAAUCCAAAGUCACAACACAUUUUCCCCCUCGAAUCGUUAUACUAAGAGUGCAGAGAACUGCUGCAGACAGAGUGUAAUUAGUAAAGUUGCUGACUUGGUGUCAGUGCACACGACAGCAUGGCAGGAUAACAGCAAAAGCAGUCACUUAAUAAGCCAGUAGUAUGUCCAGAUGCCCUGUGGAAUAGAACCCAUAUACAAGAGGUCUGUGUGAGCCCAAGAACUGUGCACCAGAUCCCUAACUGACGUGUGGGAAACUCUCCACAAACAUAAAAAAUUAAACAAACUCUUAAUUUAGAGACUUUACCGAUUCAAUGCUAUAAACUUCAUGAAAUGUUCAUGCACACAUUAUUCCCAACACUUCUGAGUCCAUUGACCUCUCAAAAUUGUAAUCUCAGCAACCUGACCUUGAAGUAAGACUUCUAGAAACCUUAAAGCAUUAAUUGUAUUAAAUUCCAUCAUUAUUUAUUUCAGAUUUUGUCAAAUUACUUCAAUGUGUGAAUGGAAACAAAUUAUCCUACAGGAGAAAAGCACAUUUUAAAGCUCUUCCAGGCUUACGUUUGGCCUGAACAUAUCUGUACAUAUUUAUGCUGAGAGAAACUCAUUGAGGAUAUACAGUGAAACCAGGAUGUCUGUGUUUUCUUCUUUGCAUUUCUUUGCCUCUUUACGGGAUAUUUGCAACCCCUUUUCUAACCUAAUUACAACAUAAAUACUCACUUUGAAAGUCUCAGCUGAUUUAGCUAUUUGCACAAUUUAUACUGUGAAAUGCAUUCAGUUCCAGACAUGAGAGAGAUGUUUUGUCACAUUGAAUUUAGAACAUCUACAUGCAUAUUGCAGAGAAGAAGUGAGGUCAUGGUCUCGUUUUGCAAAUUUACAUUACCUACAGUGAGAGACAACAUUUCUCUGAAGCUACACUAAAUGCACAUCAGACUAGGUGGUUUAAAGUGACAUCUGCAAGAAACUGAAUGCAGCAAGCACUUAAAAAAGACAUUUUAGUGACAUUACAGAAUUGAAACACACACUUUCCUGUGUCUCCACAUCUUGUUCAUCUCCUCAGUCAGACAUUGCCCAAUUUUCAGGGCAUUAGAUUAUUAAAAUGAGUCGUGGAAACAUAAAACUGCUGAAUAGAAUCAAAGUGAUGGAUUACAGCCACAUUUAUAAAAAUCACACCGGAGGUGAUUAUCGCAUUAAUUUGCACUUUUUGCCAGCAUUACAUUUGCAUUAAUGCGUAUUAUUGGCACUGGACACUAUCUCAAAAUUACCAAAGGCUUGGCUUCCCCAUCACCUCACCCUCUCCAGUCACGUCAUCCAUUCAUUCCUUCCUCCUCCCUCCCUGUCCUUUCCCCUUAAGGAAACUCAGAUGUGAGUCUGGUCACCUCUGACUCUGUAAAGUUUUAGGGAUUAAUUGUGUCCCGGGGCGACGAGGGAAACGCUGCUUCACCUCUGCCAAAAACUUAGAAGAGAGGAGGACGAUGACGACAUCGCCCAUCAGUUCUGUUGCCCCGCCUCCGAGUGCAGUAGCCCCUCCUCUAGGUAACCAGGGGCAACCAUGAGACGCUCCCCUGCCCAACUUCCCCCGGGUAAAUCGAGGGGUGAUUAUGAACCCCGGUCCUCCCUGCACCAUGGCUGUGUCUGUCUCUUUUUUUGACCUCUAAACACCAAACAGCAAGAAAACUGAUGAGCUGAAAAAGAUACAAGAAUUUUUUUCACAUUAAAGGCUUGUUUGUUGAGAAAAAUUUGAGGCUGCAAAAUUAAGAAAACUCAGCCUUUAAAAGAAAAUGAUGAAGCUGGCUUUUGCAACUCUGCUGCUGAUCCGACUUGUUUCUCUUUUCUUUUAAACCUGGUGACAGAUUUUCUUAAAGUUUAACAACCCUGGGUUGAACAGUAAAAGUUGCGUUGCAGCUUUAAACCAACAGGACCGAUCUUCGUCUCCUACCUGGAAACAUUCAAGCUCACACCUGUUUCAGCCGGUUUGUUCGGUGACUCAGCUGAAUGUCAGCGAUGAGUCUGCAGUUUUGUGCAUAAUGUGAACACAUCAGACAGUCUUUGACCUCCUUCUGAGGACAAAUUCAGACCUUGUCUCUUCCCUCCUGGUUUGGGUCUGAACGGGGACUUUAAGAAUUUAUCCUCCCUGUCCAAGCAUGAAGCCAUGACCCCUCUGUUUCCUGAUGAUGCUGUGCCCAGAGCCCGAGGUAGACAGAGUUCGGCAAGGGUUGGACAGCGCUCGAUGUGACGAUGUGCCCCAGGUUUAUUUAUAACAUCACCAUGAUAGCACUGAAACAUCAGCAGGUAGCGCUGCGAUGUCCCAACUCUGUCUAUGCAGGGCUCUGGUCUGUUGUACAGCAUGUCUUCACUGCAUCACGUCAAACUCUUUGGAAGGAAGGACUCAAGACUCAGCUAGUCUUGGACUGAAAGAAUCUGUUAGCAAGUUCAUGAACUGUACAUGCCACUCUGGCAGGUAACCACACAUCACUUGGAGGUCUUCUUCUGUAAACCUGGUCGGCUUAAAUAACCCGCCACUGGAGUCAUGAAUUUGGUCUCCUUUUUCUGUCUUUUGUAGAGUUACUAUCAUCCCUACAUACCGCAACCUGGGUUCUCCUUACAACUGCUUCUUUUCUUGUUUCAACAAUCUACUUGCACCCAAAUGCAACACUGGAGCAAGAGUGAGCAGCGGCCAGUGUGCUCAGUGAGCAAAGUGUUGCUGUACUGAAGUACAUCAGGGAAAGUUUAUGUUCUUUGUCCUGUAGUGUGAGAAAUGACACUGAAGUGCCAAAAGUGAGACUGGAGUUUGGUGUAAAGAUCACAAGAAGGACAUUUCUUUAAAAAUAAUUACAAUAACCAUGGAUAGUUAUGCAAAGAAAUAAUGCAUACCCAUGUCAAAUUUUGAUUUAUAGUGAUCUUUUUAUUUGACUGGUAGAUUUCUUGGAAAUGACAAAUUAUAAAAAAAGACAGUAAGACAUUGUGUUAAGAAAUGCUAAUGAUUAAUUCUAACUACUUCUAUGUCUGUGGAUUUUUUUUUUUUUUUUUUUUUUAACAUUUUUUCCAAAACAAAAUGUCAAGUCCAUAAUUAUUUAUGCCCCUUGGAGAAAAUGCAGCUUCUAAGCCAUUCCAAAUGAUCUUCCUGAUUUUGAUCAUCUUUGAGAGUGUUCUAGUACAUUAAAUUGAGAAGAGCUGGUGCAGGAGUUCUCUAGUCUGUUACUGGUCAAUUGCAAGUCAUGGCUAAAACCACAGGGUUGGUUUGGAGCGGCCCAGGCAGAGGCUAGACCUGAAUCCUAUUAAGAGUCAAGACCAGAGUGAUGGCGAGAAAGUCUUCAAUCUCAGAGACGAGUGGAAUAACAUCCUAGUUGAAACAUGCAUACCAAGAACACAGUUAAGAUUCAUUGUGAACAUCUCUAACACAAUGUCGCUGGCUUAUGUCAUUUUCAGCCAGAAGAAACCUAUUGCUUAAAUAAAUAUUCACUGUGUAUCAACAUUUGGCAUGACUAUGAAUAAUUAGGAACUAUAAAUCACGAUAACUAGCUUGGUGCUAAGUUGGCGUGGCCACAAUUAGAAGCUAAUUUCUGGCCCCUUUUUGCCAAGCGAGUCACACUGAAGAUGAAGUAGCGGACAGGCCUGCUGAGGCUCAGGGCGCCAUAUGCAAAGUAAGUCAGCUUAAUACAGUGAUGGAGAAAGAAAAACACUUGAAGUGCUUCCCCCCGUUUACAGUUUUAGGGAGAACCCUGGUGCCUAAUGUGUACAACACACACACACACACACACACACACACACACACACACACACACACACACACACACACAGCAGCUACAAGAGUCCUCAGAGAUAAUACAAUGACAUGAGUGAUAUUACGAUGACAUUUAGUAUGUUUACAUGCACAACGGGGAGCAACCAGCUUUAAGGCAAUAUUUUUAUGGUGUCAGCUACAGUAAAUGUAUCCGUGUAAUAAUAAUUAUCUACCAUACAUGUAGUGUGACAUGACGACUGCUUCUGAUCCCAUCUUACAUGCAGACCAAGCUCUUUUUAAUGAGGCAGACAGUCCCAUCUGUUCGCUCAGCUAGAGCUGCAGAUCUUGUGUCAAGUAUUUGUGUCACCCAGAGGUGUCUGAAGGACGCAUCUGAGCCUGAAGUUAAGGUUUGAAUACGUCACUUAAAGGUGUCAAAAAAGAAGGGAAGCAGCCGUCACCAGGGCUGGAUGUCAGUCAAGUCAAACACACUACAAAGAGCCCUGCUAGCAUUCACAUUAUUUUCAUGCUUAGAAAGUGUUACGUAUAUCAUAGAUGUUUGUAAUUGGCAUUAAUUGUUUCUACAUUCAUUUGUUUUUCAGUGAGCGUUUAUUUUUAGUACUCACUGACAAAGAACUUUUUUAAUGCAGUGCUGUGCAGAUUUGGACCUGGUGGGGGUCGUUACUUAUUAUGGACGGUCCAACUUAGAGGUGAUUUAAUCCUGCAUUCUUCCUAACAGCCAGCAGGGGGCGACUCAUCUAGUUUCAAAAAGAAGUCAGACUCUAUAGUAGCCAAGAUCUGUGCGUCCAUAACAUGUUUUUAUAAGCAUUUUGAACUUUUGCAUUCCAAAUGGUUUAUAGAAAUGACAAAAUUUGAGAAAAAUUCCCCAAUCCUUGAAAGUGAUUAAAAGCAUGACCAGCACUAACUGACAUGGAAGAAUAAUUUCAGUUUUCCAGAUUGAAAACAACUCCUGAAGAUUUAUCUCCAUUUUUCACACCAAGAUAACUCUUCACCUACAGUUUAAUACUGGUGUAUUUGUUUUGAACAGUAUGGCACAGGUUGCGGUUUUUGGUCAUUUGCUGUCAUCCUGCUUGAUACAUAAAAUACCCAGGUGGUUCUGACAUAACGCUGAGUGCAAGCAUUAGCAAGCUGGCCUAACUAGCUUCUACUUUCUGAGAGGAAGAGUAAUCAAAAACAAAUGUGACCUUAUCCUGUCAGUAAUGGAAAUUGACUGAAAUUUUAACUUGACUUUAAGAAACAACUGCAGCUUAAGACACUUAAACAUCAACUUCAUCACUCAGUUUUGAUGGUUGCUAUUUGGCACGAACCAGAAUCAGGCAGAAAACAGCUCUUGCUGCUGGUGACUAGCCCUGGCCAGCAGAAUAUCUCAAAAGCAGCUAACAUUAGCUCUAACUAUGGUGGAACAAGCUUGGCUGUCCGAUCUUGAUCAAAUUUAAUUAGCUGUCACCACUUGGGAGGUUUGGUCGGGUAAAACAUCCAUAAAUAAACAUGUCCACAGACAUCUGUUAGAGUGAAGCUUGGUCUACAUGUAUGUCUGCUCAGAUUAAGAUCAAAUUAUGAUAAUUUGGUUUCGUGUGACAGUUUCAGAAGUCACAGUAUUGCCUUAAUUACUACAGUGCACGUAAACACACUCAGUGACUUCCUCUCUGAGAGUGAGGAAGCUGAAGGAGGUGGUGAUGAAGGGAGCAACAGUGGAGCUCUUUGUCUUUUCUCCUCUCUGUUUUCUUUACACUGUCACCUGUCUUUGUCUGUGUGUUUAACUGUAGCUUUGACUCCUUCCUGUUCCUUCUCUUUUCCUCUCCUUCCCCCCUCCCAAAGAAAGAAAGACAUCCUUCUGAUUCAAGUAAAUCAAAGAAAAGACGUAAAAGAGAAAAAACCUCUUCAUAGUACAUAUGGAGCUACAGAAGAAACCCUCUGAUAGAUGGACCCAUGACAAAGUCCAGGCAUUGUUAAGUAUCCCAGUGGGAUUUUGAGUCAGCAAAACUUUUUAUGCCUCUUGUUGUUUUUGUAUUGUUACGAGCAAAAAUAAUGUAGCAAAGCAGUUGUUUCAGCUGGCAAAUUUGCCUAAUCUUUGCUGGGCCUUUAGACCGCAGUGGAAACAAAAAUAUCAAAAUGGGUUUCGUUCCUUGGAAACUUGGUAGAAAGACAUCCUCUGGUGGAAACACAGCUAAUUAAAUGAAAGCGUCCAUCCCUUGUACAUUACUUUUAAUGAACAGCAGGCUACUACAAGACUGCAUAGUACAUUAGAUAGUUUGGAAAAUUAAAGCUGUGCAGUGUUACACCUGUAAGUGAUGACACAAAAUGAGGAUGAAGCACAAAUACCACACUACACCGCACUAUAACAAUACUCAGAUACAAUAAAAAGUUGUGCAUUCAAAGUUUUACUCCCAUCAAACUAGUCUAUAUUAGCAUUUUUAUUCUAAUUAUGGAUGCUUCAUCUGUAAGCAUUUUAAUCAAGUUAUUUAAAUUGAUUCAAAUUUUACCAGCUUUAUGAGGAUUGGGGUGUAUUAUCAUUAUGCAGCAUAGGAUUGCUGUUCAGCCCCUUUAAAAACAUGACUGACCCUCUUUACGCUUGGUUUUAAAAUGUAAUCCAAAUACACAUGAACAACCAUGCGGUUCAUCCUGCUGUUUAUCAUGCAUCUCCGAGAUGUCCAGCAGGCCACACAGAGUGGGCUGAAAAUGAAGUGCCCAAAACUGUAGUUUCUCAAAUGGCCACUUGGGACUGGUUCCAAAAGUGAGUCUAUCCCCAAAGACCUACUUGUUAUUGUGUCCACCAUCACAGCAGACAUAAACAUGGUGUUGGUUUCUGUAGCUGAUUUUGUCGUUCGUGACAACUGUAUGGGAGGUGAAUUACAAUCCACCGUCAUGGGUCAGUCCAUUGCCCACCUCAGCUCCUCUCACACUCCACCUCUGUGCUUAUUUUUGGAUUACCAAGCAGUAUGGGACAGUCAUCGCACUGAGUUUCAAAACUGCUCUUCAGGAAACCUGUGGGUGACAUCACAGAGGAGUCAGCCAUCUUUAUAUACAGUCAAUACUUAGUUACAGUCAAUAUUCCAUUCCCUGUGUCACUUCUGCGAGGUUAAAAGAACUCAGCCAUAGACUGGAAAGAGAAGAUGGGGAUAGUCACUAUGACAUCCCCCAUUGGUUUAUGGACUUUUAUUCCAGUUUUAAAGCCUGGAGCUUGGAAUUUAGUUGCUGCCGACUUUUUUUUUUUUUUAAGUCAAAUGUAGUGAAUGACAGGUUGAUCUGACUGAGAAUUAAUGUGAGUUAAAUGUAUGCUGUGUUAGAACCUAAUCAGUAAAGAUCUUUCCAUGUCCCACAAAGCACAUUAAUUCUUUUUGGUAUAUUGAAUUUUUCUAAUGCUAUUCUCAAAAAUGCACCUAAAAUACAUUCUAGAAACACAGCUAAUGUGUCCCUGUGGGUAUUUAUACUUAUAUUUAGUGCUGACCAGUUUUCUAAAACCAAUUGUAAACAUGGUCUUGUUAUAUUUGUCCACAGUAAUUACUCCCUCUGAAACAUAGUUGAACUUCAAGUGAAAUAAAGGACAUCUACAUUGGACUUAUGUAUAGUUUUUAAGAAAAUGCACGUAGUUACUCUCCACAUCUGCUGUGCAGUAAAGAGUAAACUGUUGAGUCCUGCUUGUCAUUCAUUAUUGCCCUACUUUCUCUUGAUGUAAAUGAUAACAGCAGACCAUAAAUUAGACGCUACUAUGUUUAUUUAGAUUAUUUAAAGUCUUUGCACAGUUUGUCAGCUUCAUCUUCAGUGACAGUCUGUCAGCUUUCCAACCUGGACGUCAUGAUUAUGAGGCUCUUUCCAUCACAUUAAGUGCUGACUGCCAGUGAAACUGCAGUAAUUUAUGGGAACUACAUUUGGGAAGAAAUGAUGUAAUAAAUCGGUGAUAAUAGAUAAAAAAUGCCAAUUCUUUAUCGUAGUAAUUGUCCUGUCAUCUCAGUGUGCAGGGAAAUUAUAUAAGGUUUGAUAAGAUAGAACUUCUAAUGUGCCAUACUCUAUAUUAAUACAUUAUCCUGCACACUCUGCACUUCUGCCAAAUGAUACAUGCUGCAAUUAACCAAAACCAGUCAGUGAUAUAUUAGAGUCGUUUGGUAAUUGUAGAACUCUUAACCCAAGAAAAUAAGUGAUGUUUUAGUAUUAUUUUUUUUCCAUUAACAACUUAGACGUUCCCCUACUUAGAGACUGCAUGUUUUUUGAUGCACUUUUAUUUUAAUGUAGCUACACAUAAAAUCUGACUUGAAUGCUGUGGAGACAAUCAUUGUAUUAAGAAUUAAGAAAUUUGAAAUACACAGUAUGCAACUGAAGUAAGGUCACCCCUGUGCAAUAUCACUUAAAUGUCAAAUUACUCUAAAUUGUGUCACCUCACCUCACCUACCUAAGCAGAACAGAGGGAACUCAAUGUAACAAAAGUUGAUUCAUCUGUCUUUAAUUUUAACUAUAACUGAGAUUUAAAUCUUUUAUUUUUUCAGUACGUCAUAUGUCCACCUUUAUUUUUGACUCAGUCGGACUCGAUCCUGCUUGACGUGGGAGGAUACAAAUUUUCAUGCAGAUAUCAGAGACUAUUUUUUUCAGUUGCCCUUUACUCCAGCAGUUUAGUUGCUCUACCUUUCUCUUUAACCCUCAUGUUGUCUUCACUUAUGGGCACCAAAAAAUACUGUUUCCUUGUCUGAAAAAAAUCCCAAAAAUCAGCAAAAAAAUUCCCCAAAUUUCUGAAAAUUUGCAAAACCUUCAGGAAGAAAAUUCCAAUAAUUCCUUAAAUGUUUCCCUUAAAAGUUUUUUUUUUUUAAUCCCCCAAAUUUGGCAAGAAAAUUCUUGUAAAUAUUUUCAAAAAAUGAGUAAAAAUCUUCCAAAAAAAUCCGAACAAUAUCAAAAGUGAUUCCAUAUAUAUCAGUAAAACUUCUAAUAUUUUCUUUAAGAACACUGACAUAAAAAUCAACCAAAAUCCAGCGAAAUUCACUGGAUUUUGGUUGAUUUUUUUGUGAAUGUUCUUAAACAUUUUUAACAGUUCUUUUUUUCCACCAAAAAAUGUUCAAAGAUUUCCCAAAAAUGUUGAAAAUGUGGGCAUCAGAAGUUUCACUGUGAAAAUAUAUUUUUUCCACAUUUUCAAACUUUAAACCGGGUCAAUUUUGACCUGCAGGACGACACGAGGGUUAAAAUACCCCAGAGAUGGUCCACUGGAUUCAAGUCUGGCAACACACCUGGCCAGGUCAUAGUUUCAGAGUUUUCUUAUUUAGAGACUGGUGUGAUAGGCAGUGUGCUUUGGAUCUUUAUUAUCAUAGAAUAUUCUUCUUCUGCAAAGCUUCUGCAGACUUGGAGUGAUUCAAUUCAAUUCAAUUUUAUUUAUUUAGUGCCAAUUAUAGUUCAAAUGGUCUCAAGACACUUUACAGAACCCAUGAUCUUGUCAGUGUUUUGUCCACUGGCAUUUACAGUACCAUAUGUAAAUGUCAUCUUCCCUGACACCUUUUUCACUUCUCCAGAGCAAGUAUCACCAAUACUUCCAUCUCUGUGCGUCAUUGUCAGGACUAUGCAUUCACUGUGGUAGUCCUGCACACAGUCCAGUUCAGUACAUGCUGUACUCCAUCUGAGCUCAACAAAUUUAACUUGGUCUCAUCUACUCAAAGAAUCCCCUCAAAAUAUUCAUUAGGCUUCUUUUCAUGUUUUUUUUUUUUUGCAAAGUUUCAUCUUGCACUUUUGCUCCAAACAGUGAGAAAUGGUAUUUUUCUUGAAUGUCAUCCAUAGAGGUUGACAUUAUGCAAUGUCCUUCUCACUACCUGAGCUGUCACAGAAACUCUGAUUCCUACUGAUAACCCCUGUGCCAAGAGUGAAGCAAAUCUGUUCUUUAGAGCUAGAUUGUGAAAAUAAUGCACUAUCUGUGGCGUUAUUGUUGCCAAUGGCUGAUUAGUGGUACUGUGGCUUGUUCUGUACUUUCUGAUUACUGCUGCAGCUGAUGUUUUCAAUGAUCUGUGUAGCUUACAGACAACUCAUAGGUCCAAAACAGAGAAAGUUCUGGUGUUCACAGUUCAUUUUCUAAUGAUGUUCAUACAGUUAACCUGGUUGGAACUUACAGGUGUAUUCAGUUUGGUUUCAAAGAUCACAGGUUUUCUAACUUGGGUGUGGGUGAUUACAGGUGUAUUCACUUCUGGCCCAUUGAUUUUCUGUAUUUAUUUUGACUGUAUUUUCAGUAUAGACUUUCUUAAGAAUUAUUUUUUUGAUUGUUCAAAAGAGGAAAUACUGUAUUUGUCAACUUAGACACGUCAUUAUUGAUAAGCGAUGCAAUUUUAAAUAAUUUGACAUUUAAAUAAUAUUGCACAGGAGUGAACUCAGUGCCGUUGUGUAAUUUAUUAUGCAAUGGUUCAGGAGGCUUAGAAUUUUCUCUUUUCGGAGAGUAAGAGAUUUUUAAACUUCUUUAGAACAUGAUCAACCUUGUGAUUACAAUUUUGGUAGACUAAAGUUUUGCAUGGCUAAUUUUCACUUACAUUUUCUCUAUGAGCAGGGACAUAUCUAAGUCAUUACCGUGAUUUACUUUAAGAUAAAAUCAUUCAUUACAGCUACCAUCAUACAGGUAUUGCAAAUAUUGCUAACCAUUACCUUUGUAUGGUUCAUUUUACAGCUCAGUCUAUCAGCAUUUCACACUGUUUGCUUGUUUUCAUUUGGUAGCAAUACAUUAAGAAAUCACUUAAAGCUGUGUUAGGUAAUAUGUACCGAUUUGGGGCAUUACAGUCCAAUACAGUUUUCAUCAGACAUUUUUACAUGUUAAGGUCUAAUUAAUGAGAUUAUUAAUUAAAUUUCAGCUCCCUGCUAGUGCUAAUGCCGACUCCCCGUUAUGGUCGACUGUGACACCUAACCUGAACUGUCAUUAAGUAAUUAAUCAUUACUGAUAGUCUCAUAGUUUAUUAGUUUAACUAAUUCACAUUUUCUUGAAAUAGUUCAAGUUAAUUUCAAAAUCACUUGACAGUUAUAUGGAAGCACGGCUACAGUGCUCUACAGAUUUUUUUCAUACUCAGCUAUCUGUAACUCCAGUCAGAACAAUCAGGCAUGAAAGCAACAUGCAUGCGUAGUCCACCAUCUGAUAAAUUGUAAGUCACUUUAGUUCUGCUUUUGUUCUCUGACUUCUGAAAAAAACAUAAUUGUCUUGCUUUGGUGUGGUAACACUGAGCUCGCUUCAAUUUUGUGCCAGCCAACUAGCAUACAUUUUAUGUGUUAAUGUAGCUCCAGAUCGACCAGAACCUACAGGUGGCUUUGUAGAAAGUUUGGCUGAUGUGGUUUUGUUAAAGAAAAGUUGUAGGAAGCAGAAAGCUGCCCAGAGCUGCAGCGUGAGGUCUUGAUUCUGAGUGGAACUGGCAGCACAAGAAACUCUUUCACACAGCUUGGACUCUGGGUUUGUUUAUAAGAUAUUGCUGAGAGCAUCUUUAGAGUAAUUAUCAUAGUCCUGUACGUUUACAUUAGCUUCUUCUACUCAGUAGAGUCUAUAAAGUAGCAUUCAUACGCUCUACUCAUGCAGGUUCUGUAAUGGUCUGUUAGUUUUCUCACAUACUUUUGCUAAUUCACUGAAGACUCACUGGUGCUAACACACACCCACAAACGCACACUCACACACAGACACACCAGCGUUCUGCACUAAUAAGCAGGGGCCAUGCAGGGAUCCAUUAAAUACGACAAAGCUGGACAUUAGAAAUGAAAUUGAUACAGGAAAAACCUCUUUAUCAACAAUAAUAAGUUAGGAGAUGAUCGUAUAACAUCGCCUGAUCAAUACAUAUCUGUAUUGAUCACAGCGACUUGCAACACUUCCUAGAGUUUCCACAGAGCUGCACCGUUCACCAGGCAUCACUGUAUAAAGCCAUAAAGUACUAUAUUAGAGACUUUCUUCAAGCUGAGUGAUCUUUUAGCCGUAUUUUAAGUGUUGUUGUAUGUAUUUAUACGUGUCUUAAUUAUUUUGCAACAUGUAGAUUUCUCAGAGGAUCAGUUGCUGCUUGUUGCUUCUUGUACUUCGCUGUUGCUCUUGUCUGAAGGCAAUCUCCUCCUCAUCAGCAGCACUUUUCUGUUUUCCCUGCAGCUCGUUACUUCGUGUCACCUCGCAUCUGUAGUCAGAGAGACCGGCACUGCUGGUCUCUGUGGUGAUUAUAUAACUAUUUUCCUGCACACGGGAUGGCAGAUGAGUCAUGUUGUAAAGUCAGAAGUGUAUGCAUUGGGAACAGGGAGCUGAAGUUGUCUUGUUGGCGCUCAUCAACAUGGCAUAAUAAUCUCGCUCGGUGUCGGGUUAUUUAUUCGUAACAUUUUAGCAUCUCUGCUGCCAAACUUUUUGUCACCCAGUUUCCAUCUGAUAUAAACAGAGGCAAGUUUUUAGCUUCCUUUUCCCGACACAGCGGCAUUGGAAUGAAGGCAUUUUGACAGCAAUCGUUUGGGAAAUGCACAGUGUGCCCUGCAUACUGUAUACUCUCAUCAAAUUUAAGACAAAAUACACAUAUGCAUUUGCAAUACAUGCUGUUAUAUUGAAAAUGAGAGUCGGCACCUCUGAGUAUAAGGACAUGGUUCUCUGCCAGAAACUGGAGGCUUGCUCCUUCCGGGUUAGAGGCGAACUGCUGCCCCAAGCAGAGUGGUUUUAGUAUCUCGCGAUCUUGUUCACAAGUGACGAGAAAAUGGAGCGUGAGAUAAUGUGGGCAUUGUUCCGGACUGACGUGGUGAACAUGGAGCUGAGCCAGAAGGUAAAGCUCUCAAUUUACCAGUCAAUCUACAUUCCAACCCUCAUCUGUGGUCAUGAGCUCUGGGUAGUGACCCAAAGAAUGAGAUAAAAGCAGCAAAUAUCCUCCGUAGGGUGGCUGGGCUCAGCUUGAGAGGUAGGGUGAAGACCUUGGACGUGUGGAGGGAGCUCAGAGUAGAGUCGCUGCUGAUUCGUGUUGAAAGGAACCAGCUGAGGUAGUUGGGGCAUCUGAUUCUAAUGCCUCCUAGAUGCCUUCCUUUGAAGGGUUUCAGGGCAACUGUUAGGAGACCUUGGGAGGAGCUGAAAGGCAUUACAGGGAAGAGUGACAUCUGGAAUGUCCUGCUUAGCCUGCUGAAAUCACAACCCUCCUCUGGGUACACGGAAGAAAAUGAAUACUAUUGUAAGACAAGUGUAUGUCACAAGUUGUGUUUUUAGACACUGCUUUUCUUCAGAAUACACCAAUAUUCGUAGAACUCAUACAGCAGCAUUAAUUCAGCACCAGAUGCUGUCUGAAGUUUCACAACUAUUUAGUUUGCAGACUUACGUGGCACUUUGUGUCAUUGCACUAUGAAGUUUGGUUUUUGCAACUUCAGGUUACAUACAGUGUCAAGUUAGUGCAGUUUGACAAGUCCAGAAUGGCAUAUUGUGAGUAAAAACAGUGAUUUAAAACAGUUAGCUUGUCUUCCACUAAUCUACUAGUCAGUUAAUCUUAUCGUUUUAACUCAUGAAAGGAUGAGAAGUGAGGAUUAAUAGAAGCUAUUUUUUCAUGUGAUAAACAGGCAGGUAUUUUCAGAUAAAAGUAGCGACUCUGAACUGAGAUAAUCUGGAUUUUCCCUGCUUGACUAAUCCAAUAUGUUGAGUUCUAUUUAACAACAGGAAAAUUAUCAACAUCAUAAUUACAUCUUGUAAAAGAAAAAAAGUAUUACAUACCUUCUAUUUUAUUUCCUCUUUAAUCUAAAUUUACUUUCAGAAACUCUUACAUUAGAUUAUGAAUGUUACGUUUUACCAUGGCAACAGCCAUUGUAAUCUGCUGCCAUGGAGACAAAUCAGAGGUUUGGGUAGGAGGUCAUCAUCGUAUGACGACCUCGUUAGCUCCAUUCACCCUCGCUUUGAUACUCAGCGAGGAGUCACAUGAAUAACACACACAAACACACACACACAAACACACACACACACAGAGGCUUCCUGUCGAUUGCCCUCCCUCCCCUCCCCUCCUCUCUCUCUCCUCGAGCUGCUUCUCCCCCUCCCCCUCCUCUUCCUACUCCUCCUCCUCUUUCUCAGUCUUUUCUUUGAUUUCCAGUCACCUGCUGUUUUCUUCUUGAUUCUCUCUUUCUGUGUCUCAUUAUGUAAAUAUACAGAUAGUCAUUCUUCAGUCUGUUGACUUUAUUCUUAUGUAAAUUAUUUAAAAAAGAGAUCGACUAUGGAUGAUAUACAAUAUAUUAUAAAAGUAUGAAAUACAAAAGAACUGAAAACAAUGAGAAUGUACAUGAUGAUGACGACGAUGGAACUGAUGAUCAUUUCUGUGCGAUGAUUAACAACUGUGAAGAUGAUGUCAUGCUAAUGACUAUUGCACUGGUCAGUGAUGAGGAUGCUGAUGGUGGCGAAUGAUGAAGAUUAAGAUUAAAAACUCAUUCAAAAGAA